rnacentral:tRNA from 1 species
GUUAAGGUGGCAGAGCCCGGUUUACAUGCAAAAGAACUAAUCCCUUUGGACAGAGGUUCAACUCCUCUCCUUAACU